AUAAAUUUCUUUUUUAUGUCCUUUUAUCCUUUCUACAACAUAAGUUCCAUGAUGUAAUUUUCAAAAAACAUCAUUAACUUGACCCCUGCAUUCUUGAAGUAAACAUCUCUCUAAGGCAUCUGCACUUUUAGAACUUAAUUUUUAUGGUAAAAAGAAAAAUAAUUUCUACUUUUGUGAGAACAAAACACUGAAAUACAAAAAAUUCCCAUGGAAAUGAAUUGAAAUAAACACUUUGUAAUUAUCAGGUCAGAAAACCAGGUAUUAAUUCUAAAUUGCUGGUUCCAUGUAAUCAUUCAUUUAUUCAACAACUACUUAUUACCAGCCUACUGUGAUUUAAGUCUUGAAGACACAAUAGUGAACAAGAAAGACCUAUUUCCUCAUUGACUACAUUUGAGUGAGGAGGACAAUCAACAAGCAAAUAAACAAAGAAACCACACAUAAAGAUAUGAAAGUUCUCUACUCUCUAUGAAAUGUGUGGAGUGGGAAUAAAUAUUAUCCUUACACACCUAUCAGAUGGGUCUUAUAGGCCAUGAUUUGGAAUCAGAAAUUCAUUCUAAAUACUAAAACAAAGCACCGAAAGCAUUUCAGCAGUGAAGCUGCAUAGACUGACCGACAAUUUGGAAAGAUCACUCUGACAGCUAUGGAGAUAAGUGGAAAUAGUGAAGCAAACAAUCUACUGGUGACACAGGGUAGAGAGAAUAACUGGAGGUACAAAACUUUUGGAGAGGCAAGAGUGGGUGAGAGUCCUGAGAGAAGGACACUCAACAUGAACCUCUGUAACAGAAAUGAAGACCAUGCAUAUACUGGAGGGUUGGUAGAUUGGAUGGCAAGAAGAUGGAAAGUCCCCACUGAAUAACUUCGAUUAUUAUUUAUGAAGCAAGAGAAGAGGUCAUUAAUGAAAGGUAAGAGAAGGGGCAUGGGAGAUAGAAGAUUUGAGGAGAGAGGAGAGCAUGAAGCCAUUGUGUCCAAAUUUAUGAUUGCAAACCUAAGGUAGAAAUAAAGUAGUAUUUGCUGGGCA
rnacentral:lncRNA from 13 species